CGCUGCCGGCCCAGGCCGCAGGGGGCGGUCCGGGCCCGGCGCCUCCCGUCCGGGCGCAGGCGCCACCGUGGGUCCGCGGCGGAGCGCUGCCCGCCCGGGGACGGCGGCUCCAUGCGCUGCCAGGUCUCGGUGCUGUAUUUCGCCAGGAGCGCAGAGCUGGCGGGGCUGCGCUGCGAGACCCUCUCGGUGCCGCGGCAGAUCACCUCUCUGCAGCUCUGGGAGGAGAUCGUCAGGCUUCACCCCAGGCUUGCUGUCAUCCGGGAUCAAGUGGUUUUUGCUGUUCGGCAGGAGUACGUGCUUCUUGGAGAUCAGCUCCUGGUCCUGCAGCCUGGAGACGAGGUUGCCAUUAUCCCACCAAUUAGUGGAGGCUGAAUCUGCUCAGGUUCUGUUGGGUCCAGAGAUGUGAUUGCAGUUCUCUCCCUCCACCCCGGUACUCUUUUGAGAGAGCAUAACUUGCGUUUCCUGCUGGAGAGGGCCAUUGUGCUCACCAGAAAUUAUAAGCUGGUGCACCAAUAAAUGAUUAACACAUAUGCAGUAAAUGGAAGAAAAUUGCCAAAGGGCUUUUCUAGCGAGCUAUGGAUGAAAGCGAAGAUGUGCCAAAAGAUUUUAUCAAGCUCAAAUCUGAAAAGCUCUCUGUAGAUGAAGUGUCAGAGCUGGUUAUUUCACCGUACUGUGGGGCAGUGUCUCUGUUCAUUGGUACUACAAGAAAUAAUUUUGAAGGAAAAAAAGUGAUUCACUUAGAAUAUGAAGCAUAUACUUCAAUGGCAGAGACUGAAAUAAAGAAAAUCUG